rnacentral:rRNA from 1 species
GACGAACGCUGGCGGCGUGCCUAAUACAUGCAAGUCGAACGCUGAAGGAGGAGCUUGCUUCUCUGGAUGAGUUGCGAACGGGUGAGUAACGCGUAGGUAACCUGCCUGGUAGCGGGGGAUAACUAUUGGAAACGAUAGCUAAUACCGCAUAAGAGUAGAUGUCGCAUGACAUUUGCUUAAAAGGUGCAAUUGCAUCACUACCAGAUGGACCUGCGUUGUAUUAGCUAGUUGGUGAGGUAACGGCUCACCAAGGCAACGAUACAUAGCCGACCUGAGAGGGGGAUCGGCCACACUGGGACUGAGACACGGCCCAGACUCCUACGGGAGGCAGCAGUAGGGAAUCUUCGGCAAUGGACGGAAGUCUGACCGAGCAACGCCGCGUGAGUGAAGAAGGUUUUCGGAUCGUAAAGCUCUGUUGUAAGAGAAGAACGAGUGUGAGAGUGGAAAGUUCACACUGUGACGGUAUCUUACCAGAAAGGGACGGCUAACUACGUG